rnacentral:pre_miRNA from 1 species
GAGACACCCCUCUGGGGCAAGACUUGCUUCAAUGGGGCUUUGGUGCUCACUGCGUCUGCCCCCUGAGUGUGUCUUU